rnacentral:rRNA from 1 species
AGAGUUGUCCUGGCUCAGAAUGAACGCUGGCGGCAGGCCUAACACAUGCAAGUCAAACGGCUUCUUCGGAAGCAGUGGCGCACGGGUGCGUAACACGUGGGAAUAUACCCUUAGGUAUGGAAUAACUCAGUGAAAACUGUGCUAAUACCAUAUAACAUCUCCGGAUCAAAGAUUUAUCGCCUAGGGAUUAGCCCGCGUCUGAUUAGUUUGUUGGUGAGGUAAGAGCUCACCAAGACUACGAUCAGUAGCUGGUCUGAGAAGAUGAUCAGCCACACUGGAACUGAGACACGGUCCAGACUCCUACGGGAGGCAGCAGUGAGGAAUAUUGCACAAUGGAGGAAACUCUGAUGCAGCCAUGCCGCGUGAGUGAAGAAGGCCUUAGGGUUGUAAAUCUCUUUCAGUAGUGAAGAUAAUGACGGUAACUACAGAAGAAGCUCCGGCUAACUUCGUGCCAGCAGCCGCGGUAAUACGAAGGGAGCGAGCGUUAUUCGGAAUCACUGGGCUUAAAGCGUGCGUAGGCGGAUAGGAAAGUCAGAAGUGAAAUCCCAGGGCUCAACCCUGGAACUGCUUUUGAAACUUCCAAUCUAGAAUUCGGUAGAGGCUGAUGGAAUAUCAAGUGUAGAGGUGAAAUUCGCAGAUAUUUGAUGGAACACCAGUGGCGAAGCGAUCAGCUGGGCCGAUAUUGACGCUGAGUACGAAAGCGUGGGGAGCAAACAGGAUUAGAUACCCUGGUAGUCCACGCCGUAAACGAUGUGUGCUAGUUGUCGGGACCUUAAGUUUCGGCGACGGAGAGAAAUCAUUAAGCACACCGCCU